ACUUUAUGCGUCCACAGAAUCGAUUUAUACGGUGUCUUUAUAAAUUCAGAUUUCUUCGAAUUUUCGAAUAUCGUUGUACACCACUUGUAGCUACUGGAUAGGCACACAAAUUCUGUGGAAGCAGAGGCGAGAUUUUUAGUGUUGAAUUUUGGGCUCUCUCUCUCUCUCUCUCUCUCUCUCUCUCUCAAUUGAGUUUAGGGCAAACAACGAGGACUACUUACUGGCUGUGCAACCUCAGUGAAAGUAAAUUAUGGGCUAUAUUGUGAUAUCGUUGCCGGUGAUUUUGUUGUUCUUGAUCGUAGCUAUCGCGGCUUACCUUUUCGGUAGGGCCAGAGGUCGCACUGAAGCAACAGGAGUUCCCCAGUAUUAUGGCCCUCCGGCUCCCCCAUUUGGAGUUCAAUCUCAUGACCCCCAGAAAUAGGGUUUGCACAAGUUGAGUAGUUGUAUAUACCUUGAUACGAAAAUGGACUUGUAGCUAGAAAUAAGGUCACAUUUGAUUUGGGAUAAAUGGGCAGAAUCGGACUAUUUCAUCCUGGAAUAAAACUAUUUCCCAUUAGAUUUUAUGACCCAAGGGCCAUUUAUCCUGUAUAUGUGGAUUAUUGUCCCAGAGAAAAAUUUUAUUGCAAAAUACCUAAAAUAUCCUUGCUGAAAUAUCUUAUCCUACCGCAUCAUUGUAACUGCGAAUCAAACAUAGCCUACCAGAACUUCCUUGUCAUAAUGUAUAGUCUUUGGGGAUUGCAUCAUUGGUGUGUAAUGGACUAGGGGAAAAUUGCAAUUUAGUGUAAGUUUUUAAAUAAAUUGUAAAUCGGUGAUAAAGUUUACUAUUUAAUAAUUGAAAUGAUAUGCUUUUUCAUGAUUUU